rnacentral:rRNA from 1 species
GACGAACGCUGGCGGCGUGCUUAACACAUGCAAGUCGAACGAGACGAUUGAAAGCUUGCUUUCGAAAGUCGAGUGGCAAACGGGUGAGUAACGCGUAGACAACCUGCCUUUGAGAUGGGGACAACAGUUCGAAAGGACUGCUAAUACCGAAUGUUGUAUAUUUUCCACAUGGAAGAUAUAUUAAAGAUGGCCUCUAUUUAUAAGCUAUCGCUCAAAGAUGGGUCUGCGUCUGAUUAACUAGUUGGUGGGGUAACGGCCUACCAAGGCGACGAUCAGUAGCCGGUCUGAGAGGAUGAACGGCCACAUUGGGACUGAGACACGGCCCAGACUCCUACGGGAGGCAGCAGUGGGGAAUCUUCCACAAUGGACGAAAGUCUGAUGGAGCAACGCCGCGUGAGUGAAGAAGGGUUUCGGCUCGUAAAGCUCUGUUGUCGGGGACGAAUGUGCAGUAUUUGAAUAAAGUACUGUAAUGACGGUACCUGACGAGGAAGCCACGGCUAACUACGUGCCAGCCGCCGCAGUAA